AUACGAAGGUCCCAAGCGUUAUUCGGAAUCACAGGGCGUAAAGAGUACGUAGGCGGUUUGGUAAGUCAGGUGUGAAAUCCCGGAGCUCAACUCCGGAACUGCAUCCGAUACUGCCAGACUUGAGUAAUGGAGAGGCAGGUGGAAUUCUCGGUGUAGCAGUGAAAUGCGUGGAUAUCGAGAGGAAGACCAAUGGCGAAGGCAGCCUGCUGGACAUUUACUGACGCUGAGGUACGAAGGCUAGGGGAGCGAAAGGGAUUAGAAACCCCAGUAGUCC
rnacentral:rRNA from 1 species